rnacentral:tRNA from 1 species
GUUUCCGUGGUGUCGUGGUGACCAUGUGCGCCUCACACGCGCAAGGUCCACGGUUCGAUCCCAAUCGAAAACA